GCUAUCUGCGAUAUGGCAGAUUCGAACCUGCCGCAGGUUCGGGUCUCACGUAGUGAGACAACGGAGCCGCUUGCGGCGACGGCCCGAAGGGCGAGCAAAGCGAGUCAUCCUGCACGACCCACCA
rnacentral:sRNA from 2 species